GCCGCCUCUCCUUCUUAACACCACCCCUCCUUUUUUCUUCCAUCUCCACGCCACAUCUCCUCCAAAUAUCAGAUCUAGAGAGAGAGAUUAGAGAGAGAAAAAAAGAAAAAGGUGUUUCUCUUUUUUUUUUGGCAUUCUAUUUAGAUCCUAAUAGAUCAGCGUGAAAGAUUCAUGCCGUAGAUUUUUCUUCUUUGAGUUCUAGAAGAAGAUUUAGAUCCAAGUCAAAGAGCGAGGUCUGUAAGGUGUUGGUACUUCGAUGGCC
rnacentral:lncRNA from 1 species